CCUACGGGGGGCUGCAGUGGGGAAUAUUGGACAAUGGGGGCAACCCUGAUCCAGCCAUGCCGCGUGUGUGAAGAAGGCCCUCGGGUUGUAAAGCACUUUCAGUGAGGAAGAACGCCUGGUGGUUAAUACCCAUCAGGAAAGACAUCACUCACAGAAGAAGCACCGGCUAACUCCGUGCCAGCAGCCGCGGUAAUACGGAGGGUGCGAGCGUUAAUCGGAAUUACUGGGCGUAAAGCGCGCGUAGGUGGCUUGAUAAGCCGGUUGUGAAAGCCCCGGGCUCAACCUGGGAACGGCAUCCGGAACUGUCAAGCUAGAGUGCAGGAGAGGAAGGUAGAACUCCCGGUGUAGCGGUGAAAUGCGUAGAGAUCGGGAGGAAUACCAGUGGCGAAGGCGGCCUUCUGGACUGACACUGACACUGAGGUGCGAAAGCGUGGGUAGCAAACAGGAUUAGAUACCCUGGUAGUC
rnacentral:rRNA from 1 species